rfam:Jaapia argillacea MTCL 33604 unplaced genomic scaffold JAAARscaffold_96, whole genome shotgun sequence.
CCAGAAAAGUUAAUGGAUAGCUUUUAAGAGCAGACUAAAAGUGUUCUGCUAGUGGGCCCACCCCGCUAACGGUGAGGGGUGGUCACCUGCGAGACUGUCAAAUUGCGGGAAGUUCCUUAGAGCCUCUGCUACCGCCUCUACAUGGAAACAUAGUAGUGUGCACCAGGGUAAUGACCUCGGGUAUGGUAAAAACGCAGGGGAUUGGAUAAUCCGCAGCCAAGUCCUAAGGGUUCUAUCGGACCUAUGGAUGCAGUUCAACGACUAAAUGGCAGUCGGUUCCAGAGGCUCAAAUGCUCUGGGGCUUAAGAUAGAGUCUGGCCGCCCAGAAAUGGGUCC